GGGAGCACCGGGAGCCAGGGGCAAGGGUGAAGGCUGCACUGGGAGCGGGGCUGAGCCAGAGCCGGAAGGGAGCGAUGAUUGGCUGCCAGGCGAGAGGCGCGCUGUGAUUGGCCGGUUCCUGGAGAGCGUCGCGUCAUCGGUGCAUGCGGCAGUGAGGGAGGGGCCGCCCCCGCCCAGCAGCCGCCCCCUC